AGAACGAACGCUGGCGGCAGGCUUAACACAUGCAAGUCGAGCGCCCCGCAAGGGGAGCGGCAGACGGGUGAGUAACACGUGGGAACGUACCCUUUACUACGGAAUAACGCAUGGAAACGUGUGCUAAUACCGUAUGUGCCCUUCGGGGGAAAGAUUUAUCGGUAAAGGAUCGGCCCGCGUUGGAUUAGCUAGUUGGUGGGGUAAAGGCCUACCAAGGCGACGAUCCAUAGCUGGUCUGAGAGGAUGAUCAGCCACAUUGGGACUGAGACACGGCCCAAACUCCUACGGGAGGCAGCAGUGGGGAAUAUUGGACAAUGGGCGCAAGCCUGAUCCAGCCAUGCCGCGUGAGUGAUGAAGGCCCUAGGGUUGUAAAGCUCUUUCACCGGAGAAGAUAAUGACGGUAUCCGGAGAAGAAGCCCCGGCUAACUUCGUGCCAGCAGCCGC
rnacentral:rRNA from 1 species